rnacentral:snRNA from 1 species
GUGCUUGCCUCGGCAGCACAUAUACUAAAAUUGGAAAGAUACAGAGAUGAUUAGCAUAUCCCCUGAUCAAGUGCUCCAUUUUUUGAGGAUAUAAAAUAAUAU